rnacentral:rRNA from 1 species
GACGUAGGGGGCAAGCGUUGUCCGGAAUCAUUGGGCGUAAAGAGCGUGUAGGCGGCCCGGUAAGUCCGUUGUGAAAGUCGAGGGCUCAACCCUCGAAUGCCGGCGGAUACUGCCGGGCUAGAAUCCGGAAGAGGCGAGUGGAAUUCCUGGUGUAGCGGUGAAAUGCGCAGAUAUCAGGAGGAACACCAAUGGCGAAGGCAGCUCGCUGGGACGGUAUUGACGCUGAGACGCGAAAGCGUGGGGAGCAAACAGG